rnacentral:tRNA from 1 species
GUUUUUAUAGUUGAACACAACAGUAGUUUUUCAGAUUACAAGUCCAGGUUAAAAUCCUGGUAGGAACG